UACGUAGGGGGCAAGCGUUGUCCGGAUUUAUUGGGCGUAAAGAGCGUGUAGGCGGCCAUACAGGUCCGUUGUGAAAACUGGAGGCUUAACCUCCAGACGUCGAUGGAAACCGUAUGGCUAGAGUUCGGGAGAGGUGAGUGGAACUGCGAGUGUAGAGGUGAAAUUCGUAGAUAUUCGCAAGAACACCAGUGGCGAAGGCGGCUCACUGGCCCGAUACUGACGCUGAGGCACGAAAGCGUGGGGAGCAAACAGG
rnacentral:rRNA from 1 species